rnacentral:rRNA from 1 species
UACGUAGGGUGCGAGCGUUAAUCGGAAUUACUGGGCGUAAAGCGUGCGCAGGCGGUGAUGUAAGACCGAUGUGAAAUCCCCGGGCUAACCUGGGAACUGCAUUGGUGACUGCAUUGCUCGAGUAUGGCAGAGGGGGGUGGAAUUCCACGUGUAGCAGUGAAAUGCGUAGAGAUGUGGAGGAACACCGAUGGCGAAGGCAGCCCCCUGGGCCAAUACUGACGCUCA